GGUUCAGGAUGAACGCUGGCGGCGUGCCUAACACAUGCAAGUCGAACGGACCUUUACAGACUGCGAUCGUCAAGGAAGUCAAGGUUAGUGGCGGACGGGUGAGUAACGCGUGGGUAACCUGCCUCGUAGAGGGGGAUAACAGUUGGAAACGAUUGCUAAUACCGCAUAAGCCCACAGGACCGCAUGGUCCAGGGGGAAAAGAUUCAUCGCUACGAGAUGGACCCGCGUUUGAUUAGUUAGUUGGCGGUGUAACGGACCACCAAGACGACGAUCAAUAGCCGGACUGAGAGGUUGAACGGCCACAUUGGGACUGAGACACGGCCCAAACUCCUACGGGAGGCAGCAGUGGGGAAUAUUGCACAAUGGGGGAAACCCUGAUGCAGCGACGCCGCGUGGGUGAAGAAGUUUUUCGGAAUGUAAAGCCCUAUCAGCAGGGAAGAAAAUGACGGUACCUGACUAAGAAGCCCCGGCUAACUACGUGCCAGCCGCGGC
rnacentral:rRNA from 1 species